AUGCAAAACAACUACCGCAUAGGUUUUAUAUUUCUUUUAGAUCAAAGGAGGGUACGAUCAAGAAACUGCAAGGAAUCUGCGAUGAACAGCGAAGAACACCGACGAACUUGCAACCCUAAUGCAGAUCUAAUGGUGCGGAAAGGUAAGAGCUUACGGGUGCAGAUCUACUGCGGAGGGUCGUCGUCGUUCUCUGGUCAAGCUCAGGGUGAUGCAGCGGCCAAAGUUGAGGAUGACGGUGAGCGCUGCGGCGGGGGAGCUCGAGCGGAAGAGGGGUUGCGAGAGGAAGAAGGAGAAGACUGA
rnacentral:rRNA from 1 species